GCCCGCCUAGCUCAAUCGGCCAGAGCGUCAGACUUUUACGGAAGGUCGGGUGACUCAUCCUUGGGAUCUGAAGGCUGCGAGUUCGACCCUCGCGGUGGGCU